rnacentral:rRNA from 1 species
GGUGAAAGGCCAAUCAAACCGGGAGAUAGCUGGUUCUCCCCGAAAGCUAUUUAGGUAGCGCCUCGUGAAUUCAUCUCCGGGGGUAGAGCACUGUUUCGGCUAGGGGGCCAUCCCGGCUUACCAACCCGAUGCAAACUGCGAAUACCGGAGAAUGUUAUCACGGGAGACACACGGCGGGUGCUAACGUCCGUCGUGAAGAGGGAAACAACCCAGACCGCCAGCUAAGGUCCCAAAGUCAUGGUUAAGUGGGAAACGAUGUGGGAAGGCCCAGACAGCCAGGAUGUUGGCUUAGAAGCAGCCAUCAUUUAAAGAAAGCGUAAUAGCUCACUGGUCGAGUCGGCCUGCGCGGAAGAUGUAACGGGGCUAAACCAUGCACCGAAGCUGCGGCAGCGACACUGUGUGUUGUUGGGUAGGGGAGCGUUCUGUAAGCCUGUGAAGGUGUGUCGUGAGGCAUGCUGGAGGUAUCAGAAGUGCGAAUGCUGACAUAAGUAACGAUAAAGCGGGUGAAAAGCCCGCUCGCCGGAAGACCAAGGGUUCCUGUCCAACGUUAAUCGGGGCAGGGUGAGUCGACCCCUAAGGCGAGGCCGAAAGGCGUAGUCGAUGGGAAACGGGUUAAUAUUCCCGUACUUGGUGUUACUGCGAAGGGGGGACGGAGAAGGCUAUGUUGGCCGGGCGACGGUUGUCCCGGUUUAAGCGUGUAGGUGUGUGUUCCAGGUAAAUCCGGUUCACUUUAACACUGAGGCGUGACGACGAGGCACUACGGUGCUGAAGCAACAAAUGCCCUGCUUCCAGGAAAAGCCUCUAAGCAUCAGGUAACAUCAAAUCGUACCCCAAACCGACACAGGUGGUCAGGUAGAGAAUACCAAGGCGCUUGAGAGAACUCGGGUGAAGGAACUAGGCAAAAUGGUGCCGUAACUUCGGGAGAAGGCACGCUGACACGUAGGUGAAGUGAUUUACUCAUGGAGCUGAAGUCAGUCGAAGAUACCAGCUGGCUGCAACUGUUUAUUAAAAACACAGCACUGUGCAAACACGAAAGUGGACGUAUACGGUGUGACGCCUGCCCGGUGCCGGAAGGUUAAUUGAUGGGGUCAGCGCAAGCGAAGCUCCUGAUCGAAGCCCCGGUAAACGGCGGCCGUAACUAUAACGGUCCUAAGGUAGCGAAAUUCCUUGUCGGGUAAGUUCCGACCUGCACGAAUGGCGUAAUGAUGGCCAGGCUGUCUCCACCCGAGACUCAGUGAAAUUGAACUCGCUGUGAAGAUGCAGUGUACCCGCGGCAAGACGGAAAGACCCCGUGAACCUUUACUAUAGCUUGACACUGAACAUUGAGCCUUGAUGUGUAG